GACGAACGCUGGCGGCGUGCCUAAUACAUGCAAGUCGAACGCAGUGGGGACGGGUGAGUAACACGUGGGUAACCUCCCAUCAGAGGGGAUAACCCUUGGCAACUGGUGCUAAACCGAUACUGAUGGAUGGACCCGGUGUGCAUUAGCUAGUUGGUGGGGUAACGGCUCACCAAGGCCACGAUGCAUAGCUGGCCUGAGAGGGUGACCGGCCACACUGGAACUGAGACACGGCCCAGACUCCUACGGGAGGCAGCAGUAGGGAAUAUUCGACAAUGGACGCAAGCCUGAUCGAGCCACGCCGCGUGAGUGAAGAAGGUUUUCGGAUCGUAAAACUCUGUUGUCAGAGAGGCGGUAUCUAACCAGAAAGCCACGGCUAACUACGUGCCAGCAGCCGCGGUAAUUC
rnacentral:rRNA from 1 species